rnacentral:rRNA from 1 species
AGCAGCCGCGGUAAUUCCAGCUCCAAUAGCGUAUAUUAAAGUUGUUGCAGUUAAAAAGCUCGUAGUUGAAUUUCGAGAUCGGCUUACUGGUCGUGCUUUUGUACGUACUGGUAUAAUCGGUUUCUCCUUUCUGACGAACUUUAAUGCCAUUAAUUUGGUGUUUUAGGGAAUCAGGACUGUUACUUUGAAAAAUUAGAGUGUUUAAAGCAGGCUCACGCUUGAAUACAUUAGCAUGGAAUAACGGAAUAGGACGUUUGAUUCUAUUUUGUUGGUUUCUAGGAUCGACGUAAUGAUUAAUAGGGAUAGUUGGGGGCAUUAGUAUUCAAUUGUCAGAGGUGAAAUUCUUGGAUUUAUUGAAGACUAACUACUGCGAAAGCAUUUGCCAAGGAUGUUUUCAUUAAUCAAGAACGAAAGUUAGGGGAUCGAAGACGAUCAGAUACCGUCGUAGUCUUAACCAUAAACUAUGCCGACUA